rnacentral:rRNA from 1 species
UACGAAGGGGGCUAGCGUUGCUCGGAAUCACUGGGCGUAAAGCGCACGUAGGCGGACUCUUAAGUCGGUGGUGAAAUCCUGGAGCUCAACUCCAGAACUGCCUUCGAUACUGAGAGUCUUGAGUCCGAGAGAGGUGAGUGGAACUGCGAGUGUAGAGGUGAAAUUCGUAGAUAUUCGCAAGAACACCAGUGGCGAAGGCGGCUCACUGGCCCGGUACGUGACGCUGAGGUGCGAAAGCGUGGGGAGCGAACCGG